rnacentral:rRNA from 1 species
CGGAGGGUGCGAGCGUUGUCCGGAAUCACUGGGCGUAAAGGGCGCGUAGGCGGCCUGAUAAGUAGGGGGUGAAAUCCUGCGGCUUAACCGCAGGGCUGCCUUCUAAACUGUCAGGCUCGAGCACAGUAGAGGCAGGUGGAAUUCCCGGUGUAGCGGUGGAAUGCGUAGAGAUCGGGAAGAACAUCAGUGGCGAAGGCGGCCUGCUGGGCUGUUGCUGACGCUGAGGCGCGACAGCGUGGGGAGCAAACAGGAUUAGAUACCCUGGUAGUCCACGCCGUAAACGAUGGACACUAGGCGUCGGGGGGAGCGACCCUCCCGGUGCCGUCGCUAACGCAGUAAGUGUCCCGCCUGGGGAGUACGGCCGCAAGGCUG